UACGUAGGGUGCAAGCGUUAAUCGGAAUUACUGGGCGUAAAGCGUGCGCAGGGGGUUUUGUAAGUCUGACGUGAAAUCCCCGGGCUCAACCUGGGAAUUGCGUUGGAGACUGCAAGGCUAGAAUCUGGCAGAGGGGGGUAGAAUUCCACGUGUAGCAGUGAAAUGCGUAGAGAUGUGGAGGAACACCGAUGGCGAAGGCAGCCCCCUGGGUCAAGAUUGACGCUCAUGCACGAAAGCGUGGGGAGCAAACAGG
rnacentral:rRNA from 1 species